rnacentral:tRNA from 7 species
ACAUAUGUGGUGUAGUGGUAGCUACUCUUGGCCUUUGCUUAAGAGGUCAUGGGUUCAAAUCCCCUUGAGGACAUGUGUU